GAAAUUUGAGGACGGAACUGGCAGCCGUCGCCCAUGCUAGGAGAUGUGGGAAUGUCACCCCACCAAAUUUC
rnacentral:ncRNA from 1 species